UACAAGCCCAACUCCAUCAACUAAAGGAUCAACAAUUCACUCUUCUAUAAAAGUAUCAACGACUGAAUCUUCAACGACUAAAUCUUCAACUAAGAUGUCGACUUUAUAUACAUCAACAAAGGCAUCAAUGACCGAUUCAACGACAAAGAUAUCGAUAACUGAUUCAACUAAAUCAUCAGGCUUUCAAGAAUGUUGUGAAAGCAGUAACGGAUCAAACGAUGUUAUUCUUGGCGUUUUACUGACUAUAUCGCUGGCAACAGUAAUAUUGUUACUCCUUUUCAUCUUCAAACUAAAAGGUUACGAGGUCGUCCUGUUGCGUUUUUGUAUACAGAAAAUUAAACCGGAACAGUAUGACAACUUACAAGGUCCGAAUGUAUUGCCGAAUAUUGGUUAUGUUUAUGAUGAAGUGAACAUACAAGGUGAAAAUGAUCAAUUUGUUUCGAAGGAACCAAAGUUUUAACCGUCGGACAUAACUUAGUUUAUUCAUUACCAUGAAUUUAGCGAACAUAUUAAAGGUUUUUUUUAUUUGAAAAAUGUGUCUUGAGAAUUAACAUCUGUAGCAUUAUCAUUGAUAUGGUCAUAACUUUAAAUUAACUGUUUACAAUACUUUGAAAUUUUCGAAAUACUAAGGAAUAUUUACACAAGGAAUAGAUUACCUUAUUAAAUUUGGCAAAACCCUUCGGAAUUGUGGGUCCUCAAUUCUCUCCAACUUCUUACUUCUUACUUUUUUUUUGGUCAUUUCAACUUUUUUUAUUUGAGCGUCACUGAGUCUUUUGUAAACAAACAGCGUGUAUAACGUACAAAAUUUUGAUCCUGGUAUCUAUGAUUGUUUUAUUGUCAUACGAUUUAUUACGAUCUCUCCUUGUCGAUAUCGGCCAUUCCUAGCGAUAACUUUCCUCCUAGUAGCACUGCCAUAAUGUUAGUAUAACAUUUAUUCAUUGCACCUCAUCAUUAUUUAACAGUCUCUUCAUUAGUUUACCAGACAGUUUUUUAGCUUUCUUUUGGUUCAAUUCUGCAAAACCUUUGUUUUGCAUUUCAAUUUUUUUGUUUCAGCAGAGAAAUAAAAUAUUCUAAAUAGAUGUCAAUACGACAACCCUCCGAUAAAGAACAAGGAACGAUUAAAUCUCUACACUACUGAAAUUGAUAUACGAAAUUUGAAAGCAAUAUGUGGCCAUUUAUUUUUAGAGGUAUAAUAUAUAACAGUGUGCUAAAACUAUUUAGUUCGUUACGGUUGUAAUUCAUAUAAUUUAAUUUUGUGUAAUGAUUUUGAAUAAAGAAUGAUUGUCAAUAAAAAUCAUUUAAUCUAA